rnacentral:rRNA from 1 species
UUGACCUCAACNUCAGGUAGGA